rnacentral:rRNA from 1 species
CGCGUAGGUGGUUCAGUCAGUCAGAUGUGAAAGCCCCGGGCUCAACCUGGGAAUUGCACCUGAUACUGCUGAACUAGAGUACGGUAGAGGGUAGUGGAAUUUCCGGUGUAGCGGUGAAAUGCGUAGAGAUCGGAAGGAACACCAGUGGCGAAGGCGACUACCUGGACCGAUACUGACACUGAGGUGCGAAAGCGUGGGUAGCAAACA